rnacentral:lncRNA from 1 species
CAGGGGUCAGCCCCACCUACUAGAUCACUGAUUCAAUCCAGCUCAGCCAAAGCAGGCAGCCCGCCCAAGCGACUGGCCUCAUCCAACUGAGGAUGAUUUCUUUUAAGCAUCUGUAUUGAUAUCAUAAGGAACUCUCUCAAGAAUGACAUUCCCUUCCAUUUAUGGGAUGCUGAGUCUGCGAAAUGACUCGGGUAUGAAAACUGAGGAAGCCGACUCGUGAUGGCUCUGGCAGGAGAGAAUUCAGCAGCUGGCCUGGUUUCAUGUGUUUACAACCUGCACAGACACAGAAGACACCACACUAUGAAGAGAGCCAGGCUUAAUGUUAUGUUGUGACCAUCUUGCAAUUCUUGAUAAUUUUUUCUUAGAAUUUGUGUUUUGAAGGUGAAGUCUUGGGAUCAAUGGAGUAUGCAAGUGGAAUACGUAUAAUACGUAUGUCUGCCCUUCCUUGCCACCACAUUCUGCUCUUCCUUGCCAUCGCUUCACAAAGACAUGUGUGACGCCCCCAUAAACACAGAAUUACAUUGGAUCCACAAUAGUGGAAGUCAGUGAGACGCAAAGCAAGCAUAAGGUAAUGUGUGAUGUCUACAAUUGAGCAUGGGUACUGCAAACCCCAAGAGGACACCCUUUCUGUUCAAGCAAGAACUUGCUCCAAAAGCAAAAGGAAGGCAAUGGCAUUCUAAGAAAUAUAUAUACACCCAAGGAAACCUAUCCUACCGUCUCUUAUUCAUCUUAUUUCCAUGCAUUAGCCAAGUGCAUACACUGAAAAUGAUGACUUGGAAAGAAAGGGAAAGAUGCAG